rnacentral:rRNA from 1 species
AUGGCGAAACAAAUCGCUCACCGGCUUCCAGCCAAGGGGCAAAUCGUCCCCACCCCGAAGCCCAACGAGAGGGUGGUGUUCAUCCCUCAUUUCGUCUGCGGGUUAGGGUUUCCUCUCCAUCUUUUCGUCCACGAGCUUAUGUUCUAUUACGGGCUAGAUUUCCAUGACCUAGCCCCGAACUCUUUCCUCAACAUCUCGGCAUUCAUUGUCGUGUGUGAGGCCUUCCUCUGCAUCCAACCCCACUUUGGACCCUGGCUCAAGAUUUUCAACAUGAAGCCGAAGGUGGUGGAUGGCCAGCACACGAAGUGCGGAGGCGCCAUGGUGAGCAAGCUGCCCAAUGUCACAUGGCCCAAGGGUACUUUUGUGGAGACCGUCAAGGAGUGGCAGAAACUGUGGUUUUACAUCACAGAGCCCCGCGACGCCACCUAG